GGAGCCUGGGGCCCUGACCUGCUCCCAGGGCCGCCUGCGGGAAGCGGCUGUGCACCUGGGCUGUGUUGACCCACCUGUUACCCCCCCACCCCUCCUGUGAGUUCCCCUCAAAGGCACAGCACCCCGUCUGGGAGGGGACUCCUCCAGGAGAGAAUGGCCCUGAGGAAGGACAGGGAAGAGAGGGAGGGGCAGGGUCACCGAGUGGGGAGCGCCGGCCACCUCUGGCCAGCCCAGGGACCCAGAUGUCUGGGAUCACAGAGACGAGGCAGCGGCCUGAGGUGCUGAUCCAUCACUGUGCCGCUGAGGCUGCCGAGAAGAGAGGGGUCAGGAGCCAUCCGGAGAAGCAGUGUCCACAGCGCGAGGACCCUGCCUGCAUCUCUCUCCAAGGCAGCACUGUUCCUAAGGACCCGGGACCGGCCUCUGGCUGCGUCAGAAGUCCCAGGUGAAGCCCUGGUCGGAUGGCUGGACGGAUACCGGGGCCUCUGCUGCCUGUCCCAGAGACCACCCCGUGAGGAGCGGGAUAGACACAAGAUCAGCCUGAGCCUGGAGGGAUCCCAAGGCCCCCAAGGCCAACAGAAGAGCAAGAGCCCCCAAGGAGCAAGGAAGGAGCAGCCAGGGAGGAGGGAGGGGCCCAGGCUUCCUCUGCGCUCCGGCUGCUCCUUGGCCUCCCGUGGCGGGUGCUCAAGCUGACGCCUGCUCUGCCCCCUAACACUUGCUCCCUUCCACCUCCACUCAUUCCAGAAAGCUUCUGGAAACUUCUUCAGCUCACAUAUCCAUUCCGCACCCGUUGACGUCUUUGAACCCAUCCUUACCUUUUCAAUCCCCAUCAUCCCAGCCCACGUCUCGGCUGAGGCUUCUGCCUGAAAUUCAGCCCUCACAUACCAGCCAGAAGUUUCCUUUUUUUUAAAGAGGAGCCUCAUUAUAUCACUUACUUCCAAUAGCUGUGGAGGUAAAACCUCCUCAGCACAGAUUUCCUGGCUCUGAAGGAUCUGGGUACUGCCCAACCCCAUCAUGGUGCCAGGAUCCUCUCCCCUUUUCUCCCUGAGCUCCAGCCACUGUUAAUUACUUUAGUCAUGAGUGAGUUCCCCCAGAUGCUCAGUUCCUCCCCACCACAGGGCCUUUGCGCCUGCCAUUUCCUCUACCCAGGUUUCAGCUGGCCAACUCCUACUCAUGGUUCUAAUCUCAGGGUGUCACUCAUGCCACAAAUGUGCUCUACCACGGAGCUACAUGCCCAGCCCUCAAAAAGAGAUUUAUUGUGUGAUUCUGGCUCAUGGAAUGAUGGAGGCUGAGAAGUCAACUGCUGUCUGCAAGAUGGAGACCCUUGGAGGCAUGAGGGGUGCAGAUGUUCCUCUUGACCAACCUCCUCCCCAUAGAGAUGGGGAAGCCUAAACCCUGGAAGAGGAAGCGUUUGCCAAUCAAGGGAUCUUCCAGGACCCUGCAUCUGUGGACAUAGCCCCAGUUCACAGACCCCCAUCAUGAAAGAGAGUAAAGAAGUGGCAAGAGAUUGAAGUUCCAGGUGACACUAGAAGGGGACAAAAGGUAGACUUGUAGUCAUAGUGAAAUAUUUAGGGAAGGGAUACACAAUUCACAAAGAGAGUUUCUGCCAAUACCAACAACACUAACUAGCCACUAACGCUCAUUAACAUGAACCUCUAACUACUAACACAAACUUUUAAGUAGCCACUAACCACUAAUUGACCACUAUCAUUAACUAACACCAACCACCAACACCACUCAGCUAACAUCUCUACCAACAAUUAAAACUCAAGAGAGACCAAGAUGGUUUGAAUGAUAAUAACAUUGCAGAAAAGCUGUCCCGCUUACACCAUCUGUGCAAGAAUCCACUAGACUGACUUUUCUGGGAGACAAUUUGGGUAUUAUAAGACUCAUCACAUGCACAUCAUUGUCUGAAGCAUUCUAGGUCUAGGGGAAUUGGUUCUGAAACUCUCAAAGCUUAUUCUAAACUUUUCUUUUUUUUCUUUUUGAAGGUGUAUACAGAAAUUGUAGGCAAGGAAAUCUAUCUUCCCAGCUAUUUAUAAAAAUGGCAAGGAUCUUCACCAACUGAAAGUUUGCUAAAUGAUAAUUGGUUAAAUGAAGAACAUCAUAUAGACUUUAUAAAUCUGUAGCAGAAAAAAAUGUCUGUGAUUGUUCUGCAGCCAGCUCAGUUACUUUUUUUUUUAAUUACAGCUUUAUUGAGAUAAAAUUCAUAUACCAUAAAAUUCACCCCUUCACAGUGCAUGAUUCUGUGAUCUUUUUUGUAUAUUCACAGAAUUUGCAACCAUCUCUACUAACUUUAGAAUAUUUUGUUGCUUCAAAAAGAAACACCAUCACUCUUGACAUCACUCCCCAGUUCUCGCUCCACAGCCUCUGUGAACCUCUCAUCUACCAUGUUUCUAUGGGGAUUGGCCUGUUCUGGGAACUUCAUAUAAAUGGACUCAGACAUAUGUGGCCCCUGUGAUUGACUUCUUUCACUCAGCAUGACAUCUCCAGGGCUCACACGUGGUGCACUCCAUUCCUUUUUAUUAUGCUGUUUGCCCCCACCAUACCGUUCAGCCAUGAUGUUGUGCCUCACUGGGAGCCUGAGGAAUGGAGCUGACCUUUCUGUAGACUGAGACCUCUGAAACCAUGAAUCCCCC